UUCAAACAUAAUGGCGUAGAGAGGUCAUAUUAUCGUCGCUGUGAUUUUACUAAGUUUUUUUUUUCAAUUGGAAAUAGACAUAAAUAAGACACCAGUGUCUAGUUUAUUGAAGUGAAUUUAUCAGUUAAUGUAAAACUCCAGAAAGCGGUAAUCGGUUUACAUUUGAUGUUGUUUGAAUGUAUGAUAGCUGUACUUCCACCAGCUUAAACAAUGGCGACACAGACCAAAACAACACCAGAACUAUGUGAACAAGAUAUUCUAAAAGGUGAUGGUAGUCAAUCGUGGCAGGAAUUCUUAAACGGUACACCGCAACCCUGUCCUCAACACAAAGAUGAUGUGAAGAAUUAUUAUUGCAAAGAAUGUUCGGUAGCGAUUUGCUCGCAUUGUUUCAUUGCUGACCAUAAUGGGCAUUCAAACGUGAACAGAGCGGAUAUUCUACAGAUAGUGAAAGAUAAUCUAAAUCUGUUAAAUCAGAAUUUAGAAGAAGAAAUAAUGAAAUUAGAGACUUAUUGUGGUUUAUUAGAAGAUAAAUUAUCCCAUGUGGAUAGUGUGAUUAAACAAAUCAGUGAUAAUAUUAAUCAACAGGUACAAAAUAUAUGUCGAGAAGUUCAGAUUGAGGGUGAUGAAAUGAAGGCGAGAAUGUUGGACAUUUUGGCUAAAUGUAAACUAAACAAACGGUUAGAAGAUACAACCGCAAUAAUUGUGGAUUUGAAAUCUACUGUUAAUGGUAAUAGUGAUGCUAUAGCAGAUAAAUAUGUUGUACCAGUUUUAGAUCAAACAACGAUAUCCCGAGAACAGAAAGAAAAAUGUCGAUCUAGAAAGUUGGAUUUGUUAUGUUUAAAUAAAGUUAUGUUUAAGGAAGGGCAGAUAGAUUCAAGAAUAAUAUCAGAACAGAUAGGUAGAUUAGAUAUUACAGAUAGUGAGGAGAGUGCUAUUAUAAAUAAUAUCAGAACAGAUAGGUAGAUUAGAUAUUACAGAUAGUGAGGUGUGUAGUGCUAUUGUAAAUAAUAUCAGAACAGAUAGGUAGAUUAGAUAUUACAGAUAGUGAUGUGUAGUGCUAUUGUAAAUAAUAUCAGAACAGAUAGGUAGAUUAGAUAUAACAGAUAGUGACGAGAGUGCUAUUAUAAAUAAUAUCAGAACAGAUAGGUAGAUUAAAUAUUACAGAUAGUGAGGUGUAGUGCUAUUGUAAAUAAUAUCAGAACAGAUAGGUAGAUUAGAUAUAACAGAUAGUGACGAGAGUGCUAUUAUAAAUAAUAUCAGAACAGAUAGGUAGAUUAGAUAUAACAGAUAGUGACGAGAGUGCUAUUAUAAAUAAUAUCAGAACAGAUAGGUAGAUUAGAUGUGUAGGAUAAAGCAUGAGACCGAGGUUAUGCUGGGGAAAGAAAGACUGAAGAAAAUAACGCGAGAAAAAGAAAAACCGAGGCCGGUUUAUAGGCACCGUAUGUUAAAGGACAAUAUUGGUGUCAGUCAUUAUCACAUAUUUGAUAGAACCGGUUAAACACAUUCCAAAUAUAUAAUUUUAACACGGAGAUCAUUGCUACGACAGGCGCGUAACUAAGAUUUGAAGACACGGAAGUGACGCAAAAAUGGAAAACAAGAGAUAGAAAGGACCCUCACAUUCCCUUGUUUUUAUUCAUUCUAUACUUAAUAAAAAAAAAGGUGGCAAUGCACGGGCUUUUCUACUUAUAAUUUCGUGACAGUCAAUUUUAUCUGAUUUUUUAAAAAAAAAGUGUGAAUAUAUCACCAUUACACCGUAAUGGUGGUUGAGUUCAAAUUUCGUACAAAACGGCCGCCCUCGUAUAACGCAAAUGGUGUAAAUAUGUGGUAUAUCAAGGUUGUAGACCCUCUAGAGGCCACAAUAUUUUUCCGAUUUUGAUGCAACAUUAAAUUUUAUGCUUAUAUCACGAAGGUCUUGGUUCCUUUCGAUAUUCGCGUUUAACUUCCCGAAUUAUGGCCCUUAGUCGUAUGAAAAAUUGCGUUUUAAGCUUGUGGUCCCUCUAGAGUUAACAAUUUUUAUCCAACGCUUAUGGUGUAAAAAUAAUUAUAGUAUAUCAAGGUUGUGCAUGACUCUCUAGAGGUCACAAUUUUCACCCGAUAAAAAAAAUAAAGGUGGCAAUGCACGGGCUUUUCUACUUAUAAUUUCGUGACAGUCAAUUUUAGUGACAGUCAAUUCAUUUUAUGAAUUGUCAGAUAUCCUCUCACAGCCUCCCGUCUUCAUUAGCCCAGUUUAGGAGCAGAACAGUAGAACGUUAAACCCCAUUUCAUUUCAUUUCCUCUCAUAGGCUCGCAUAACAAAUUUUGGUCUUCGAAGGAAUUGUUAGUGAGAAGUAAUUCGAUCGUAUAUCUGUUAUCACCGGUUACUCACCGGUUACUUCAGUCAGUUAUAUAGAAGGAUAACUCUUGUGUUCCAUUGUUUAUAUCACUUCCGUUUCUUCAAAUCUUCGUUACGCACCAUCGUAACAGAUCGCUGUGUUCAAAUUAUAUUUGGAACGUGUUUAACGAGUUCUAUCACAUAUGUGAUAAUGGCCGACAUUAGUAUUGUCCUUUAAGUCUUGUUUAGAUAAUUUAGCAUUUUACAAGGAGUAACAUAAGUAACUAUCUUUCCGCAAACUUGAUGUAAAAAUUUAUAAAGAAGUUUGUCUUUAUAAGAAUUAAAAGUUUAGUUUAUCCAGGGAAUCAUAUACAUGAAAUAUAAAUGAAAAACUCGUGGAAACAUAUUUGUCGGGGCUUAGAUGUUGUUGUCACAAACUAGUAUUGAAACAGGCAUGUGUCGGAAUCUUGACAGACACGAAGGACUAUGUUUAUAUUGUAGUAUGUGCUGUUAUAGUAGGUCCACUUUAUUCUAGACUUAGAGAUAUGAAACAGAAGCCCCAUGAUUAUAUUAAAAGAUAUAUGGACCUAAUAAAUAUCACAACUAUUCAUUUAGCUCAGUGGUUCUCAACCUUUUUUUUGCCAACGGCACUCCUUGGAACAUAUGAAAAAAUAGCGGCACACCUGGCUAAAUAUAUAUAUGAGAAAUAUUUGAAUUUUGCACACAAAAAAAAUAGUCAUAGACACAUAGAAUGACUCAAACUAAAAAAAGAAAAACACAGCUAUAACGUACCAGUAGAUACCAGUGAAUACUCAGUUGGGAUCACGUGGGUUAUCACAUUUUCUUAGUGUGCGUUUCAAAAUUUCGCGGCACACUUAGGAAGAUCUCGCAGCACACCUGUGUGCCGCGGCACACUGGUUGAGAAUCGCUGAUUUAGCUCAAUAUGUUGACGAAUGUAUGAGAUCGAAGAAAAAUUAAAUUUAACUAUUUAUGUAGGGGUAUAGCAUAGUUUAUAUAUUUAAAUGAUUCACUAAUUAUUUUUAAUAUGUUACAGUAUAUAUAUACAUAUAUAAGAUUUACUAAUUAUUUUAAAUAUGUUCCAGUCUAUAUUUAUAAGAUUUACUAAUUAUUUUAAAUAUGUUACAGUCUAUAUUUAUAAGAUUUACUAAUUAUUUUAAAUAUGUUACAGUCUAUAUUUAUAAGAUUUACUAAUUAUUUUAAAUAUGUUACAGUCUAUAUUUAUAAGAUUUACUAAUUAUUUUAAAUAUGUUACAGUCUAUAAUAUACAUAUAUAAGAUUUACUAAUUACUGUAUACAUGUAUAUGCUAUAGUUUAUAAUUUUAUAUCAAUUGAAAUGAAAUGAAAUGAAAUGGGGUUUAACGUCCUACUGUUCUGCUCCAACUGGGCUAAUGAACACGGACAUACGCCAUACAGUGUGCUAUGAGGGAAAUGUUACAGUAUAUAUAUACAUAUAUAGGAUUUACUAAUUAUUUUAAAUAUGUUACAGUAUAUAUUUAUAAGAUUUACUAAUUAUUUUAAAUAUGUUACAGUAUAUAUUUAUAAGAUUUACUAAUUAUUUUAAAUAUGUUACAGUAUAUAUUUAUAAGAUUUACUAAUUAUUUUAAUUUAAUUAAAAUCCCGAUAAACUUUCUCGGCUAAUGCAGGGAUCGAUAUCAUUUAUUAAUUACUGUAAUGUUAUAGUUUACGUUUAUAUGCCUACUAAUGUUAGAUUUUUAGACUUUUAAAUGUUUACCGCAAAAUUUAUAAUUGUAGCAUGUUGAAACAAAAUUUCAGUUUUAACAAUAACAUAAGAAUAAAAUAUUAAGCUAGA